rnacentral:lncRNA from 1 species
CCCCCUGACAAAAAUAUAACUUUAAAGAAAAUUAUUUUGAUUCAACCAUCUCUUUCUCGACUUGACUACUGGAAUCCUAUAAUUUAGAUUUAGAAUAACGAUUUUAUUUUGGAAUACCAACCAAUCACAUAAUAUCCCCAGUUAUUUUUAGCUCUUUUUUGAGAUUCAGAACUAGUCACCGAUUCCAUAAAUCUAUGAAAUUUCCAAAGUAAGUUAAGUUUUUUAUCUUAUUAUUAAUCACGGAUUUCUUAU